rnacentral:rRNA from 1 species
UACGUAGGUGGCAAGCGUUAUCCGGAUUUACUGGGUGUAAAGGGCGUGUAGGCGGGGACGCAAGUCAGAUGUGAAAACCACGGGCUCAACCUGUGGCCUGCAUUUGAAACUGUGUUUCUUGAGUACUGGAGAGGCAGACGGAAUUCCUAGUGUAGCGGUGAAAUGCGUAGAUAUUAGGAGGAACACCAGUGGCGAAGGCGGCUUACUGGACGAUGACUGACGCUGAGGCUCGAAAGCGUGGGGAGCAAACAGG